rnacentral:rRNA from 1 species
GACGAACGCUGGCGGCGUGCUUAACACAUGCAAGUCGAACGGAAAGGCCCUGCUUGCAGGGUACUCGAGUGGCGAACGGGUGAGGAACACGUGGGUGAUCUGCACUUCACUUCGGGAUAAGCCUGGGAAACUGGGUCUAAGACCGGAUAGGAGCCAUUUUGAGUGUGAGGGUUGGAAAGUUUUUUCGGUGUAGGAUGAGUUCGCGGGCUAUCAGCUUGUUGGUGGGGUAAUGGCCUACCAAGGCGGCGGAGGGUAGCCGGCCUGAGAGGGUGGACGGCCACGUUGGGACUGCGACACGGCCCAGACGCCUACGGGAGGCAGCAGUGGGGAAUAUUGCGCAAUGGGGGCACGCCGGAUGCAGCGACGCCGCGUGGGGGAUGACGGCCUUCGGGUUGUAAACUCCUUUCGCUAGGGACGAAGCGUUUUGUGACGGUACCUAGAUAAGAAGCACCGGCUAACUACGUG